UACAGAGGGUGCGAGCGUUAAUCGGAUUUACUGGGCGUAAAGGGCGCGUAGGCGGUUGUGUUAGUGUGAUGUGAAAGCCCCGGGCUCAACCUGGGAAGUGCAUCGCAAACGACACAACUGGAGUAUAUGAGAGGGUGGCGGAAUUUCCGGUGUAGCGGUGAAAUGCGUAGAGAUCGGAAGGAACGUCGAUGGCGAAGGCAGCCACCUGGCAUAAUACUGACGCUGAGGCGCGAAAGCGUGGGGAGCGAACAGG
rnacentral:rRNA from 1 species